rnacentral:rRNA from 1 species
UACGUAGGGGGCUAGCGUUGUCCGGAUUUAUUGGGCGUAAAGAGCGUGUAGGCGGCCAGGUAGGUCUGGUGUGAAAACUCGAGGCUUAACCUCGAGAUGUCAUCGGAAACCAUCUGGCUAGAGUCCGGAAGAGGAGAGUGGAAUUCCUGGUGUAGCGGUGAAAUGCGCAGAUAUCAGGAAGAACACCAAUGGCGAAAGCAGCUCUCUGGGACGGAACUGACGCUGAGGCGCGAAAGCGUGGGGAGCGAACAGG